rnacentral:lncRNA from 1 species
GAGGCUGGAAGCAGAGGGUGGAAUGCAUGCUUUGAAGGUGGAGCCACCUGCUUUGUAGGGGUCCUGUAGCAUCUGGAAAAGACAAGGACUCAGAUUCUCCCUCAGAACCCCCUGGAGGAACCAAGCUCUACUGACACCUUGAUUUUAGACGUCGGACCUCUGGAACGGCAGCAUAAACACCCUUGAGAUCAUCCAAGUAGUGGCGAGUAUCGGCAGCUCAUUCGUCUUAUUGCUCAGUGGUGUUCCGCGGUGUGGAGGGGCCACGGUUUGCUGAACCGGUCGACUAUCGAGAGGCAUCUGCGCUGUUUCCAAUUUGGAGCUGUUAUGAAUAAAGCUGCUACAGGUUUCCAUGUGGACAUCAGCUUUCAUUUCUCUGGGAUAAAUGCCCAGGAGUGUGAUU